CCUACGGGUGACAGCAGUGAGGAAUAUUGGUCAAUGGACGAGAGUCUGAACCAGCCAUGUAGCGUGAAGGAAGACGGCCCUAUGAGUUGUAAACUGCUUUUGUAAGAGGGUAAACGCAGAUACGCGUACCUGUUUGAAAGUACCGUACGAAUAAGGAUCGGCUAACUCCGUGCCAGCAGCCGCGGUAAUACGGAGGAUUCAAGCGUUAUCCGGAUUUAUUGGGUUUAAAGGGUGCGUAGGCGGUCGGAUAAGUUAGAGGUGAAAUCUCGAGGCUCAACCGUGGAAUUGCCUCUGAUACUGUGCGUCUUGAGAAUAGUUGCGGUAGGCGGAAUGUAUGGUGUAGCGGUGAAAUGCUUAGAGAUCACACAGAACACCGAUUGCGAAGGCAGCUUACCAAGCU
rnacentral:rRNA from 1 species